GAUGAACGCUGGCGGCGUGCCUAAUACAUGCCAGUCGAGCGAACAGAUGAGGAGCUUGCUCCUCUGACGUUAGCGGCGGACGGGUGAGUAACACGUGGAUAACCUACCUAUAAGACUGGGAUAACUUCGGGAAACCGGAGCUAAUACCGGAUAAUAUAUUGAACCGCAUGGUUCAAUAGUGAAAGACGGUUUUGCUGUCACUUAUAGAUGGAUCCGCGCCGCAUUAGCUAGUUGGUAAGGUAACGGCUUACCAAGGCGACGAUGCGUAGCCGACCUGAGAGGGUGAUCGGCCACACUGGAACUGAGACACGGUCCAGACUCCUACGGGAGGCAGCAGUAGGGAAUCUUCCGCAAUGGGCGAAAGCCUGACGGAGCAACGCCGCGUGAGUGAUGAAGGUCUUCGGAUCGUAAAACUCUGUUAUUAGGGAAGAACAAAUGUGUAAGUAACUAUGCACGUCUUGACGGUACCUAAGCAGAAAGCCACGGCUAACUACGU
rnacentral:rRNA from 1 species